GACGAACGCUGGCGGCGUGCCUAAUACAUGCAAGUAGGACGCACAGUUUAUACCGUAGCUUGCUACACCAUAGACUGUGAGUUGCGAACGGGUGAGUAACGCGUAGGUAACCUGCCUAUUAGAGGGGGAUAACUAUUGGAAACGAUAGCUAAUACCGCAUAACAGUAUGUAACACAUGUUAGAUGCUUGAAAGAUGCAAUUGCAUCGCUAGUAGAUGGACCUGCGUUGUAUUAGCUAGUAGGUAGGGUAAUGGCCUACCUAGGCAACGAUACAUAGCCGACCUGAGAGGGUGAUCGGCCACACUGGGACUGAGACACGGCCCAGACUCCUACGGGAGGCAGCAGUAGGGAAUCUUCGGCAAUGGGGGGAACCCUGACCGAGCAACGCCGCGUGAGUGAAGAAGGUUUUCGGAUCGUAAAGCUCUGUUGUUAAGGAAGAACGAGUGUGAGAAUGGAAAGUUC
rnacentral:rRNA from 1 species